UCUAAGACUCUCAAGAUCUGCGCCAAUCAUCUAGUUGUGCCAUCAAUCAAUGUCCAAGAGCAUCACGGGAAUGAUAAAUCAUGCGUCUGGCAUGCCGCUGAUUUUGCUGAUGGAGAAUUGAAGGACGAGCUCUUCUGUAUCAGAUUUCCUUCUGUUGAGAAUUGCAAAACCUUCAUGGAGACGAUCCAAGAGGUGGCUGAAACUCAAGGUAAAAAAA
rnacentral:misc_RNA from 1 species